UUCCUCCCAGAUUCUUUUCUCUGCUGCAGUCAAUUCCCCCUUUUUCCAUUUGUAGAGACAAAAGGGAACAUUCUAUAACCACUGGCCUCUGUCCAGGAACACAGGAGAAAAUGAAGCAAGGCAAACAACAGAGAAAAGUGAACAACAAAAGAACAAACUCAAACGAAACUGCUUAACAAUCCUACAGUGCAGACCUGGCAGUGCUCUCUUGAGUCCACAGGCUGAGAAUACCAGUUCCAGCAUUCCCAGCUGGCCAAGCCGAUGAGAACUCAUUUCCUUCUUGGAGUGCAGAGCCAUCACUGCAGGUACUAACAUGCCUUCGUGCUCUCUGCCUUCUGGCUAACAAAGCAAGCAGACAAAGAAAAGAGGAGGCAAUGCAGGCAACUGUGGGGCUAGGAGUUUUGAAGAGUGGAGUUUGGGAACUAUUACAGAGAGGUUAAGUGGAGGAGGCUGGCCUAGAACUAAGAAGAUACUUGGCUGGGCCACGGAAUCACCUGGGGACUAUUAAUUUAUUUAUUUGUGAGAUAGGGUUUCGCUGUGUCGCCCAGGCUAGAGCGUAGUGAUACGACCAUAGCUCACUGCAGCCUGUAACUCCUGGGUUCAAAUGAUCCUCCCACUUCAGCUUCCCAAGUAGCUAGGACUAUACAGUCCUGGGGCAUUUUAAAUAAUGACAGUUUCCUAGGUCCUACCCAAGACCAGAUUCUCCAUCUUAAAAUGCUCUUUAGGAGAUUCUAUGAUGAAAAAAAAAAUGCAGAAAUCAAGUUCUGCUUAGACACCAUUACUCUGAGUGACCUCCAACUUUUUGCAGCUUACCAAGGGGGUCUCAGGCUGGAGAUAACUUCUCCCCAAGUGUUCCCCUGGGAGGACUUAGCUGACAAUAUUGAAAAGGAGAGAUUUUUUUUUAAGAACAUACAGAGGUGUCUAAAAUAGUUGAACUCAUGGAAGCAAAGAAUAGAAUUGUGGUUGCCAGGCACUAGGGGGAGAGAGGAAAAGAGUUGGUAUUUAACAAGAAUAAAAUUUCAGUUAUGCAAGAUGAAUAAGUUCUAAAGAUAUGCUCUACAACACUGUGCCUAGAGAUAACAAUACUAUAUUGUACACUUAAAUAUCUGUUAAGAAUGUAGAUCUCAUGUAAAGCGUUCUUACCACAAUAAAAUGUUUUAAAAAUGAAUGGAAGAAUAAAAAAGAACAUAGAGCAUGGAAAAGAAGAGCUGGAAAAUUCUCAGUGGUGUGUCUCAUGGUUGCAGCCAUGUGUCUGUAAAUAUAUCUUGGAAAGAAUUCAUCCUCAGAAAUAAUUACACAGAAUGACUAAUAUAGAAGAUAAAUGUUUCAUUAUAACUGUUUAAUAGAGCCUCAAAAUUCCUCCUUUUGGUACUUUGGCUCCUAGGAAGAAAAAGUGGAUGAGGAAGACCCUUUGGACAUCGUCAAAAGAGGCAUUGUUAGCAAAUGACGGGGGGCCAGUCCUGAAAGCCUGUGAGGCUGUGAGCAACUCUCCCACCUGCUCUUCUCUGUCUGUCCUACUCCUCAUGACAAUGACUCUUAUCCUGGAGGGCCUGCAGUAGCGUUUGACACACGUACCUCAUUUAAUUCUCACAAGAGUUCUAUGAAACAGGCUAGGAUUUGGCAAACCAUUGUCAGCUACCUGUUUUUGUAAAUAUAGUUUUAUUGGAACAUAACCACCACAAUUUAUUUACAUAUUGUCUAUAGCUGCUUUUACUCUACAAUGGCAGAGUUGAGUAGUUGUGACAAAAGCUCUAGGCCCUGAAAAGUGCAAAAUAUUUAUUUUACUAUGUGGCCCUUUACAGCAAAGGUGUGUUGACCCCUCAGAUAAAUGGGACAUUGCUCCCACUUUACAUAUGAGGCACAGAAAAGCUAAGCGCAUUGACUGAGAUCAUUUGGGUUAUAAAUUAUAGUGUCAGAGAUGUCUCGGACCCAGAGACAACUGUUCCCUAUGCUUUUCUCCUCCCUACCUUAUAGCAUCUCCUACUCUUUCACAUUCAUUUGUUCCUACUAAAUGUGUCAGCCAAAAAGAACACAUUCAUUUGCACUGAACAAGACGUCUCAGGUUGACCAUCACACAGAAGUCAACAGGAGGUUCUGGAGACUUGCAGAAAGUGAUCAUCCAGCAUAUCCUCUCCUCUCCUCUCCUAGCCCCUAAGGACUGAUUCGUAGUCUGCCCAGAGUUUAUAAGAGAGACAGUCAUCCAACAUGAAUAGAGAUGGCCUGAGCAGGCAUGGGCUCUUUGAAAUUCGGAGAGAUCAGCUCAAAGAUACACUGGGAAGAACCAGGUUGCCCCAAGCAAAAGGCAACAACUGCCCUUGGUUGAGCAAGAUUCCUUGGGAAGCUUAUUGGAGGCCCCACCUCUAAGGACAGGCCCACAUUUGCCUUGUCUGCCAUUCUUCCCUUACUGAUGUAUUCUGACCCUGUCUUGGCUUGAUUUAUCUUUGAUGUCUUUGAUGUUGCUCAUGACCAUGCUGCCUUCUUCCUGGGAGUUCCCAUCUGGUCCUGGUUUCUGCUUCUCUUGCCUUAGCUCAUACUCAAACCCUGUGGGUAACAGCCCACGUGCAACAGUGGUCUGCAGCUCCUGAGGGCUGUUGAAAAGAUUGCUUCAUUCAAUGCCAUAAAAAUAUCCAAGAAUACAGCAAUUGUUAUAGAAAUUAUGGUAAAUCUGCACAAUGAAAUAUUAUGCAGCCACUAAAACGGACAUCAAUUCAGAUUUCUAAAUGACACAAUGUAGCAGAGACAGGGCCAGGUUCAUGGGUGUGGGUCCUACACAGUCAUACAGGGCUCCACACUUACAAGGGCCCUACACUUGGUUUAAUGCUCCAUGGCUGCCACCUUGAAAUUCUGAAUAGUUUUAUAACAAGAGUCCUCCACAUUUACAUUUCACAUUGAGCCUAUAAAUUGUUAGCUAGUCCUGAGCAGAGAUGACUCUGAGUGCCCAUUUUCUCCUGUCUUUUAGUAAUAGAACCUCCUCCCUUUGCUUCAUACAUACACCCUGACUAGUGUUUCCACGCUGGAAUUCCUUCCCAGUAUUUCUUGAGAAUUUUUUAUGUUUCUCCAAAUCUCGAAAGAAAAAUCAGUCAAGAAAUUGGGAAAAAGUAUUGUAAUUAUCCUGCAGGAAUCAAGGCUUAAUGAUCAACAUAAAGACAUCACUGGUUUGAAUCCAUCAAUGUCAAAUGAAAAGCAAGAGCAGGAAAGGCUGGCAGGUGGAAGAGCAUAUAGCACAUAGGAGAGCACAUAGGUCAAGAGCUGAUCAGUCAAUCUUGCUUGUAGCCAUUGUCCUGUUCUAAGUGUGUGUUCUUGGCCCUGACUGAUGCUAAUGGCAAGUCAUUCUUGGAAAUAAAAUAAGCAGUAUUAGGUUUAUAUGUAUGUAUACUUUAUUCAAAUCCUGCUAGUGAUGUUCUAGGAAAUAACAAAUUUGGGAAGCAAAAUACGCCCUUAAUUGGCAAUUUCAAUGUGUGAUUCUGUGUAGUGCUUUAACCUUGCUAGGAGAUCUGAAUGUCACAUUCUUUGAAUAUUACCCAAAAAUGUUCACUGGUAUUUUCUAAUGUUUGAUUUUUUUUUUAUCUCAGGCUAUAGUUGUUUAUAAAUUUGCUAAAUGUAAUAUUUCUUAUUUAUUAAACCAAUUUCUUUUAGAUAUCCACAGUAAUGACUAAAGAGUAUAAAAAUUGCUGGAAGUCUUUUAUUUUCUUCUUGUUACUUAGUUUUCAUUUUGUAAUUAUAAACUUAACUCUGCGAUCCAGCUAGACAUGGAAGAGGAUAAGGAAAAUAUGGAACCCAAAGGACUGUGCAAAGAUUAUAGGAUGCUGUGAGCAAAUGGGGUGGAAGCAUGCUUUCCUGAGCUAUAGAAGGAACGAUCUGGUGGUUCAGAUAAAACAAUCAAAUUUAUUAGAGUUGUCCACAGUCAGCAGCUGUGAUCUUCUUGCUGGUCUUACCAUUCCUGGACCCAGAGCGUUCCAGGGCUUCCACAAUACUCAUGCCAUCUUUCACCUUGCCAAAGACCACAUGCUGUCAUCCAUCCUCUGUCUUGGCAGUACAGAAGAAAAACUGGGAACCAUUUGUGGUGGGUCCAGCAUUUGCCGUGGACAAGACGCCAGGAGCUGUAUGCUUAGGAUGAAGUUCUCAUCAUCAAAUUCCUUGCUGUAGAGGGACUUGCCACCAGUGCCAUUAUGGUGUGUGAAGUCACCACCCUGACACACACCCCGGAAUAAUUCUGUAAAAGCAGGGACAUUUAUCACCAAAUACUUUCUCUCCAGUGUUCAGAGCACAAAAAUUUUCUUCCAUCUUUAGAACUUUGUCUGCAAAUAGCUUGAAGGAGAUGCAGCCCAAGGACUCACUAUCAAUUGCAAUGUUGAAGAACACAGUGGGGUUGGCCAUGGCUGGUGGCAGGGAGUUCUGGGCAGCAGCGAUGUCUGCAAAUGGAAGUCUUUUCAGAAUAACACGAGUUUAUCUUUAUAACAAACCUAUACAUGUAUCCCUGAACCUAAAAUAAAAGUUUUUUUUUUAAAAGGAUAACUUAUUAUUUCAGAAAUUUCUAAGAAUUCCCAGGAAUUCCAACUUCUCAUUUGUAUAUCCUGAUGAAUAUCCACUGGGUAUUUGGAAAUGCCAAUUUCUGACAUAUGAUUGCUUAGCUAGAGACUGCAUUUCCAGCCUCCUUUGCAGGUAACUAUAGCCAGGUUCUAAGUUUUGGCCAAUGAGAUGUUAGCAGAAGUGAAAUGUGUGCCUUCUGGAUUUUAUUUUUAUGAGAAAUUUGCCUGUCUUCUAUUCUUUUUCCCUCUUCUCUCUGGCUCGGAAAUGAUGAAAAGUACAGGACUCACUGGGACCAAAAUUCAGAAAUUACAUGUUAAGGAAGAGAGGGCUGCUCCUCUAGCCUGUUCUCCUUAUGACCUUGUGGAACGGAAUUGCCUACCUGCCCUGGACUAUCCUAAGAUUGUCGUAUGGAGAGAAAUACAUUCUAUUUUAUUUAA
rnacentral:lncRNA from 1 species